ensembl:lncRNA
GUUAAGUAUCUUGGCUAUUCUUAACUGUUAUGUCAGUGGAAGCGACCGUUUUUUGUUUGGUUUUUCUCAGUACAGCUCAUUGUUAUUGGUAUUUAGCAUUUGAAGAAUGUUAAGUAAGUGGAAGCUAAUACUAAUUAAUUACUAUUUAAUCAGUUAAUAUUUGAAAGGAAUAGCUAUACAUGCAAGAAAUCCAGAGCUAAAUCUGCAAAGAAUACAGUGCUUCACCUAACUUGAAGGCAUCCUGCUAGCUAGUAAGAAUUUUUGCUCAAAGUUUAGGCAUUUUGCAUUGCUUGAUGAAUGCAGAAGAGGAGCUGAGUCAGCUCAGAGUAAUAUAAUUUAAGUAAAUUAGUGCAAUCAGCAUUCAAACAUGGGGUCAUAUACAUAGGAAGAUAGAAUAUUAACCCAGAGACCAGUCAAAAAUCAACUCUCUUCAUACAUACCACAAAGAAUACUGUCUCAGUAUGUAGGACAAAAUGAUAGUAAGUACUUCUGUCUCUUCUGAAAUUUUCUGCUAAGUUCAGAAAAAAACGUGGAAGAUACCAUUGUCUGAUGACAAAAACAUUAAGGAAGAUGAUAAAAGGAAAAAGAACAACAGCAAAAUCCUUUACUUCAUAUGCUUUCUUAGGGGAGCACAGAUGUGCAAACUGGCAGAGAGGUCAGAUUGUUUUGACUAUUUCUGCAGUGAGUUGAGCUGUAAUGGCCUGGCAGAGUGAGGAAUCACUGCUAAAGCAGACGCAUAUCACAUAGAGAGGUACCAUUCUGCUGCUAUUUCAUGAGAGCAAAUAGUUGAAUGUUUGUGUGAACGUGGGGCUGGAGAGGCUCCCUGUUUACGACCAGCUACGGAUGUCUGUGGAACGUUGCUCUGGAGGAAUUCACAAUGAGAUUUCCAGCAGGAAACACAAAUGCUAAGCAGAUGUGUUUUCUUCCAGACUAAACCUUUUGACUCAGAUUGGCAGAAAAUCUUCACUUUAUCCACUUUAAGAUUUUUAAGACAAAAAUCACAAAACAAUGACUUCUCAGCCCUUUUAACAAAGACUGGAAGCUACUGAGAAGUUAGGUAGAUCUACGUAUCCCUGAGAGCACACAGACUGCUCAUUGAAUCUGCUCAAUCAUCUCAUUCUGCAUUUAACUUAAAAAAUGCAAAGCAAGGCAAAGAAAGAAACCCAGCCCCCAAAAGCAAGUAGCACUCCUGCUCAGAGGAUGUUCAAGGGAGUUGUUCCAACUUGAUCUUUCUCUCACAUACCCUUUAAGGGAGGAAAUACUUUUGGAGGAAGCAAACUGGAAAAGAUCACAAAGAUCCUGCCACAUAGAUUUCCUGGUGUUAUUCUGUAGAGGAAGAGGCAAAAGUUCUUUCCUCAAAUUCCUUUUCCCAUGUAAACAGUGGGAAGAAUAUUAUCUUUUGUUAAUUUUUUAUUUUGCUUAUUUGCUGUAAACUGCAAAACAUGCUAUAUAAAAAUGCCAUUUAUUAAUCAUGACUGUGUUGUGUUCUAUAACAAAAAUGAUCCCUUGGGACCAUAUUUGUUAUAUAUGCUGAAAUGUACUGUUAGCUAAGUGGCCUUAUCUAUAAUUCAGAAAAUCUUUGUGUGCUUUGGAAGACCGUUUGGCAAACUGUGCAAGGAAGUCAUUUAGUUAUCUGGCUGCAUUAAAGAUGAAAUCAAUUUAAGAUGAAUUAAUACUUCUAGAAAAGUGAUACGAAAAAAAACAACCUAAACUCUUGGCUUUGAAAGAAGUAAUUAGCCAGUACUACAAGAGCCUUGGGUGACUGAAAGGCCAGAAAAGAUGCUGCGGGAAGACUUCCAAGCAACAAUAAAUAUUGAAGUUCUUUCCAACUCAAUGUUUUGAAAUGUCUUAGAAGUUUUAACCAAAAGGCCUUGCUAUGAUCAACUCUAGUAGGGGAAUAAGAGUAAUAUUUCCACAAGAAAUAUUUUAUUUUCAAUGGUACUUUCUCCAAAAACCACCAAUGGAGAAGUGGUGGGAUUUGAUGACAACAUAGACUUUAAAAAUGUAAUAAACUUAUCUAAUGGAAAAGAUGAUGACAGCUUUCAAAGAUAUGUCCACCAACAAGAACUGCUGCAGCCAGAUGUUUUGGUCAAAUUCGAGUACGUCACUGAGAUACUGAGCAAGCUCAAAACAGAACAGCUGAUUGCUUUGAAGAGCCAACACUUGAAAUUACUUAAAGCACUCUUCUACCAAAGAGACAGAAGACAGCUUUCAUAUUCUCGAGUCAUCCUACAAAGUCCUGCGUGAAAUAGACUACUGCAGCCUACAGGCAUCAUAGAAAUAUUUCAGUCAAGACCACAAGUUCCACUCUUGCCCCUAUGCUUAUGCUAAUGUGCACGAUCUCUUUGAUGAACAACAGCAAGGAGACUGGAUAGCUUGAGGUGUAAUUGAUGGGAUGCUGAAGGUCUGGCUGUUGUUUUGGUGGUUAUUUUUAUAGAUUAUAAAGGAACUGACCAUGCAGUGCUACCUCAACUUGUGGCUGAAUCUAACAGCUUCAUGGACUCAGCCCUCCAUUUAGCCCAUUUGGUCAAAUUAGGCUGGUGGUAACUGAAAGCUGUGACCAGCUGAUGGCUAUGUUGAAUGAUAGCUUGUGGAAAUCUCCUUAGUGGACUCAGACCAAAUUUUACUGACAGAAUCUCACUAUCUCCAAGCAAAUUCCUCCAAAAUAAAUGCUAACUCAAGGCUCAGGGGCAACCACAGGUUUAAAGACAAGGAGGGUGAACUUGUGUCUUCUCUAGAAGUAUUUUCUGUAAGCCAGCAAUGAAGUGAAAAAAAGGCACAUUUGUGUCAGCACCACCCAGGCUGUCAAUAAAGAACUCCUGCCCUCAGAACUAUCAAAUCAAAUUCAUAUGAAUUUCCCACUCUUCCAAAACCACUUUCCCACAGGGAAGAAGGGAUCACAAAAUUAAACAGCAUUCCCUUCUUCUCACAUCUUUGUAAUCUGCAAGCACUGUGCCUGUCACAGUGCUCCCAGGAGGUUUCCUUAACCAUAAUGUCUCAUCUCUGCAAACAGCUGUUUCCCUUUUGCACAAGAGUUCUUGGAGAUAUGCUUCACUUAUCAGAACUAUACCACUGAAAAGCUGGUAAAUAACCAAGUUCUGUUGGAAAGAUGAAAUUGCACUGCAGAUAGAUGGAUUUGCUUAACCUAUAAAAUAAUUCUGAGAUAGCUAUUGUUUUGGCAAAAUUCUAAAAUGUAACAAAGUUUGAUUGUUCUUGGCUUCUCCUAAUUUGCUUACUUUGGGGUAAUAGCUGGCCUUCAAUAUGCAUGUUAGUCUCGUUACUGUUAAGUUAAAUAUAUACACACAUAUCUAAGAGAGGUUUGACCAUUUACUGUCAGUGUUCCAAGGUUAGCUGAAGUCUGGACCUAUUACUUUCUCUGUGCUCCACUAAUUGAGACCAAGGCUUAUGCAAGACUUCCUUGGGGAUCACAGGGUCUGAGGUUUUUAUAGUCCACAAGGCUAAAAUUCAAAUAUGAACCACAGCUGUUUGGAUGGAAGUCCUGGACCUCAUCCUUUUGAACUAUAGUGACCUGCUCAGCCUUGCCAUCAUGUGAAACUCAGAAAUCCCUGCACAGAUGAUGACUGGGAUGUGAAAAUUGCCUGCCAAGCAGACCUGGGUAAAGUGAUUGGUUUACAGUGCUCUGGGAUUUGCAGGUGAAAGGACUGCUCUCUCACUCUCCUCUGCUACCCUCUUCCCCUCCAUUUCUGUACAUAUCAUUCUUUUAUAUAUAUAUAUAUAUGCAGAUUUGAUUCCACAUUCACCACCCAAACAGCUGAAUUGAUGUUCCUAUUGAAGAUGGUGAAGUUCCUCCCUUCUGCCAAGUACAGUUAUUUUUAUGAGUCCCCAGUAAGAGGUAAAGUAAGAGAAACAGGGUGUGGGAUAAACUAGUUAAUCUAUUUAAAUAGGGAUAGACCUCUAGCGCCCUAACACUUAAAUACUUUGUCUUCACUCGGCUGUGCUAUAUUUUAACUGGGGACUACAACCAGGACAAACAAGCGUGGCCUUUUCCUACUGUGGAUUGUCAUGCGAAAAUAUUUGUGAAGGGGUGGAGUAAACAUUUUUGGGGAUCACACUGCAAGAGGAGAUAUAUGGGAACUCACUGUGAUGCAAAAGGAAAUCAUGUGUUACUCCACAGAUGAUGUGAUUGGCAUUGUGAGCUCAGAUGCGUAAAGACUAUCGAGGCAAAAAAAUCAAGAUUGAAGCAGAAUGAAAUGCUCCUUUCUUCGGUAAGUCAGUGGGAGUCAUAAAUACUUCUGCAUCAGCUAGGAAAGCUACAAAAAACUAAAUCACAACUCUAUUUUCAUGCUGAUGCAUGCACUUUAAAGUAAUAUAUAUAAAAAUGCCUUCCUUUUGGCAUAACUGCAAUUACAUAAAUAUUUAGAUUUAUACUAAUAAGUAAUUUUGCAGAAGUUUAAAAUGAUAGGCUGCGUGAUAGCUAUUUAAGGGGAUGGGCAGCCCACCUUCCAGUGGCCACAGUGACUUCCAUCAAGUCGUAAUUGCAGGAGAGGGUGCUUCUGGAAAUUAAUGGUGAAUCUUAUAUUCCCUUGCAUUUAGAAUCCAAAUCUAUUAUUUCAUUACUACUGUUAAUUAUAUAACAAUCAUAUAAUAAUUAUAAAAAUAAUUAUAUAAUAACUAUGUCUGAAUAAAUAAUAAGCAUUUUCAAUAUUAAUGACUGCCUAGCAAGCAAGGCAAAGCAGAUCUUAAUCUGGUUUGAGUUUCUAUCCUUACACAUUCAUUUUACUCUUGCAAAGCAUAUUAAAUACUAUGGAAUGUAUAAAAAAGGCCACAAUUUCUUCUCUAUUGGUAUACUGAAAGUCUUUGUGUGUCCAAGGUAAUAGGAAUUCCCACAUUCGUGCUUACUGUAAAAUACAGCAAGCAAAAGCUAGAUAAAUUCUGUUUAAUAUGGAAAUAAUUUUGGCUGCAUCUUUGGCUUUGUAUGACAUGGAAACUGGUGAUUGUUUAUGCUUUGCUACUUUUUUUGGUCUGCAUUAAAAUCCCACAUGAGAAACAAAUUUUUCUCUAGGAACAAAAUGUUACUUUUUUGGGACUGAGUUCUAAUAAGUUGGGUAGUACGUCUGCUUCUUUUCAGCUGGGAAAUUGCAAUGCAUAUAAAAUCCAGAUGGAUAACACAUGAGGCUGGAAGCAGCCUUGGCCAAUCAGCCACGUCACUUGAUUAAAAGAAACCUAUAAUAAUUUAAGUAAAAAUAGUACCCUAACAAAGUAACAGAGCAACAAACUGGCUGCAGCAUGCGAUUUCAUCACAGUUCCAAUAUUGCUUUACUUUUGCUGGUUGGUCCUUUCAUAUCUUAUUGUAAAUUAACCUAUUUGCAUUAAGCGUGCAUGGAACUUGUGAUUAAAGCCCCAAAAUGUCAGUGAUGGAAGAUACAUGAUAAGCAGGAUGAGGGGGUAAAUCCAUCACCAGACUACAGAAGGCCACAAGGACCUAUUGCUCUUAGGGCAGUGGUGCACUUGAAGAACUCAGCUGAGAGUUUUGCCAUGAGGAAUCACCUACCCUGGCACGUGCCACACUAGUGCAGACCAGUACUUUUUGUAUGGAUUUUGUCUGUGACUGUCAGAAAGCAAGUAAGUGCAUCAAUGCAAUUACAAGGUCACUCUGCGGAAAAACUCCUGACUAUCCCGCGAGAUGCAGCAGAUUUGUGGGUGAGACUGUCUAAGGCAGCCUGUGAAGAAGUCACAGACAGGACUUGCAGAGGGAUGGAGCCACAUCUGGAAUCCCUGUGGGCAAUUGAAGGAAUGUUUAUUAUUCUUUGUUUAUUAUUUUGAGUGUGUACUCUCCCUCUUCCUUUCUUUGUCUCUCUUUGUUAUUUGUGUAAUAAAAUUCCUCUAGGCAUACAAAGUAAGUAAGUCAUCUGGAAUUGUGCAGUUCCCUCUGCCAGGAAGCUGGAAAAGCCUCUCGUGCAGAGACAAAAAUAUGGGCUCAUCUCAAACACUGAGAAAUUACAGAAAUAUUCACCAUUUGCCUUUGAGUUAUAUUUACAUAGGAAAGAACUGUGGCAAAUACGUGUGCUUCUUGCUGUUAAAAAAAAUUGGCUUUUAUCCUGCCCAAGGUGUUGUGUUUAUUUAAAGGUUGUUGAGAAAUAAUUUGUACGUUCUAAAAUAAAGCAUGCAAAAUACAUUAAAAGGGCCCAGUGACAAAGUUGUUUUUUUUUUUUUGCCAGUGGGUGUGGAGAAGGAAAAGGAAAUGAGUAAGUAGAGAGGAGCGUCUUUAUGGCCACAUGGCUAGUGAAAAUUUCUAUUUAUUCUUUGGGGAAAAAGCAAAGUAGCUGCAUAGUUGCUGGUUGGAUAGGUGCCGGGACUAUUUUUAUUGGCAGGCAGCUCUGAGUGGCUGAAAGGCGGUCAUUAACACUCUGACACAAAGUGCUGACAGGGCGAUUAUAAGAUUAACACCCUAUGUUAUAUUAACAGUGUCAAAACCUCCCCGUACCUGUCAGUGAGAAAUAAUGGCACGAAGGAAAACAUUAUAGACAUGCUGAGACUUUAGCAUUGAAAUACCAUGCAGCUAUUCACUUUUUGAAAUUGAUCUAAAUAUCUAGAUGACCUACUGAAGGCUCAUAAAAUAAUGUGAUUUAAAUGGCAGCUUCACCAAAUCAAAAAAUGAAUGCAAAAGUUAAGCCGCCCAGCUUACUUACUCUCUUGUUGACACUUUUAGCCCUGAUCUCCCUGGCAGUGGGUCUCUCACAACUGCUGCCUUUCAGUAGAGUUAUGGUUUGAGAUCUCAUAAAUUUAGGAUUUGACCUUAGGACUUUUGACAAAAACAGAGCUUUUCUGGAGAAUAUUAUUACUGGUCAAAAUUCAACCUCGGUCUUUCUCCAGGACUGCUAGUCAUCAUAGACUGGUUUUAUCAGUGAGAGCCUUUGGACCAUAAGGACCAAUCUGCAUUUAAAAUGUCUCUGCUCCACGUUCAUUAGAACUGGAAUAGCAAACCCUCUGGCAUAGCUGUCCUGGAGAAUAUCCAAAGAAUGGCAACGAAACCAGUGAAGUUUCUGGAUCACAAGUCUUAUGGAGAGCAACUGAGGGAAAUGAGAUUGGUCAUUCUGGAGAAGGUGAGGUUCGGGGAAGACCUUAUCACACUCUACAGCUGCCUAAAAGGAGGUUGUGGUGAGAUGAGGGCUCUUCUCCCAGGUUUCAGUGAUAGGAUGAGAGAUGAUGACCUUAAAUUGCACCAGGGGAGGUUCAAGUUGGAUAUUAGGGAAAAUUUCUUCUCAGGAGUGGUGAUGCACUGGCACAGGCUGCUCAGGGAGGCGGUAGAGUCACUGUCCCUGGAGGUGUUCAAGAAAAGGGUGGGUGUGACACUGAGGGACAUAAUCUAGAGCAGUCGUGGCCAUGGCUUGAUGGUUGGACUAGAUGAUCGUAGUGGUCUUUUCAACCUUGAUGAUUCUAUGAUAGCUUCAGCUAGACUGCCUUAUGCUGCCUUAAGUUCUGCCAGUUUUGAUUAAGAGGAUAAGCCAGGAGAAAAAAAGUUCUUCCUGUAAGACUAAAUCUGUACCUUCACUAGUAAAAAAUAUUGUUCAAGUGUUGCCAGGCAAAGCAUUAUUUCUGUAUUUUUAUUAUUAUAUUUUAUGUUGUAUAUGAUGAUAAUACAGUCUAUAUAUUUUUGUCUGUAAGACUGAUAAAUAAAAUGCAAAUUAAAUAUUCUUCUAAUACUUUGGUUUCUAACCAAAUAAAGACAUGGUCAAAUCACCCCACGUGCCAGGAAAUGCUUCUGAGUUGCAUAAGAAAGGUUUGAUAGUUUUAAGUAAGUGGGAUCUGG